rnacentral:rRNA from 1 species
GAUGAACGCUAGCGGGAGGCCUAAUACAUGCAAGUCGAGCGGUAACUUUCUUCGGGAAGCUAGAGCGGCGCACGGGUGAGUAACGCGUACAUGACCUGCCUUUAAGACCGGGAUAGCCCUGGGAAACUGGGAUUAAUACCGGAUGUGAUAAUAGAUAUAAAGAUUUAUUAUUAAAGUUACGGCGCUUAGAGAUGGAUGUGCGUCUGAUUAGCUAGUUGGUAGGGUAACGGCCUACCAAGGCUACGAUCAGUAGGGGCGUGAGAGCGUGGCCCCCCACACGGGUACUGAGACACGGACCCGACUCCUACGGGAGGCAGCAGUAAGGAAUAUUGGUCAAUGGACGAAAGUCUGAACCAGCCAUCCCGCGUGCAGGAUGACGGCCCUAUGGGUUGUAAACUGCUUUUGUACCAGAGAAAACCUACUCACGUGUGAGUAGCUGAUAGUAUGGUAAGAAUAAGCAUCGGCU